ensembl:snoRNA
AUCCUUUUGUGGUUCCUAAGUGUGCUGGUUGAGUUUACACAUGUCUGUGUGACAUGUGCCUCCCUUCAACCUUGUUACGACAUUGCCACAUUACCCUUCUGACA